rnacentral:rRNA from 1 species
CACGUAGGGUGCGAGCGUUGUCCGGAAUUAUUGGGCGUAAAGAGCUCGUAGGCGGCUUGUCGCGUCGACUGUGAAAUCCCGCGGCUCAACUGCGGGUCUGCAGUCGAUACGGGCAGGCUAGAGUUCGGUAGGGGAGACUGGAAUUCCUGGUGUAGCGGUGAAAUGUGCAGAUAUCAGGAGGAACACCGGUGGCGAAGGCGGGUCUCUGGGCCGAUACUGACGCUGAGGAGCGAAAGCGUGGGGAGCGAACAGG